GUUUGUGCUGAAGGCCUGUUUCCUAGGUGAUACACGGAGAACUAGCUCCUUGUUUGCACCUAGGGAAAUGUCCCCAGACCUCGGGCAAAGAGUGCCAUAUGUGCAUGCAUGUAGACUUUCCCUGCUUCUCAUGGUUAAGCCCUCCAAGAAGCUAUCCCGCCCCGUGCUGGGGGGAGCCAAGCGGACUGUGGCGAGGUAUCAUCCAUCAGCAGGCAGUGUGCCUCAGCGCACACCCAUCUCACAAGGCUCUUUCUCAGGACACAGC
rnacentral:RNase_MRP_RNA from 1 species